rfam:Brachypodium distachyon strain Bd21 chromosome 1, whole genome shotgun sequence.
UAUAUACUCCCUCCGUCCCAUAUUAAGUGACUCAAAUUUGUCCAAAUAUGGAUGUAUGUAUGCAUAAAAAGCGUUUAGAUACAUGUAAUAAAAAGUCACUUAAUAUGGGACGAAAGGAGUAUUUG